AAACUGCAGUGCGCCACCUCGCUCAGAACGGAGACAAUGUUCCGUAGCUGCUCCACGCCGCACUACUGCCUCUCUUCCACGCCACAUUACUGCCUCUCUUCCACGCCACACCGCUGCAUCUCCAUCUCCCCUGAAGCCCGCGAAGUGUCGUCCCUACCUCCGCCCCUGCUCCCCUCAGCGACACCGUGUCUCUGUUCCCAACCGCCGCGCGUUCCAGUCGUUAGUACCCCCUCCCUCGUUUCAUCCCAAUUCACCUAUUACAUUUUAUCUCAUAAAUUAAACCCUAAUUCGUGCCUUCUCGAUUUCUCCUCAGUUCACUCCACUGCCGCCGCGCCGUCUUCGCUCUACUGCUGCCGCGCCGUCGUCACUCCACUACCGCCGCGCCGUCGUCACUCAACUAUUUCCGCGUCCGUCGUCUCUCCGUCACACUCGCGUCGCCAUCGCACCGUCACACUCGCGUCGCCGUCGCUCCCUCACACUCGCAUCGCGGUUGCGCCGUCACACUCGCGUCUCCGUCGCUCUGUCCUUCAAAUUCCGUGCCAUCUUUCAAACUUCUCGGAUGAACCACAACUGAGUUCAACUUCUCAUUGUUGCAUUAUGAAGAGGCUCUUCUGCUGAUUUGGCGAACCAGGAGACAGUUCAGAAGGUCUGUGACAUAGUCAAGAAGCAAUUGGCACUGCCAGAGGGUUCAAGUGUCACUGGAGAGUCCAAGUUUGCUGCCCUUGGAGCUGAUUCUCUUUACACAGUACUUUCACAUUUUCUUAAACUUCAUCUCUGAAUUUAUAAUAAUCGCCAUUCUUGAUUGUAUCUUUCAUCUAUGCAUGUCUUUGUUGAAAAUUUUAUAUGUUAUCAGUCCUUUUCAUGGUACUCUCUCUCAUUAUGGAGGGAUGAGAGAUUCUUUAAAAUGAGUAACCAGUGAUGGAUUGAUUGAGAAUAAGAGGGGUUUUUGAGUUCUUUAAAAUGAGUGAAGACAGCUUGUUCAAAACAGCAUCAACAAAGGAAGAGAGAUAAGCUCUACCCCCAAGUUUUGCAGCCAUGAUUGAGACUCAAGUUCAGGAGAUGAUGAGAUCAGAGCAAAGAAAAGAAAGAAAGAAAAGUUUAGGAUUAAUAUAUUUUUAUAACAUAAGCAAUAAGCAAUACAAUCAACAAUUCAGCCCCUCGUAAAAACUUAUAUGUGAUUCCUUUUUUCUUUUUUAAUUUCUGCUUCAUUCUAUAAGGUUUCAA